rnacentral:lncRNA from 1 species
AUAAUUCCAGUAUCUUUCUUUUUUUCUUUUUUUCUAGUUUUUAUACUAUGAGGAAGUAGCAAGUCUCGCUUUUCACCAAUUUAGAAAAUUUGGAAAAAAAAAGAAGAGAAGAAGAUAUUUGGAACUCAUGUGGUCGAGACUUACGUAAGUCUCGCCAAAUGUGAUUCAAGCAUCUUUCUUCUCUUCUUUUUUUUAGUAUUUUUAAUAUUUUCGUCGUAAUAUCGUCGUUAGUUUACGACUCUUUUACGACGAUUUUGGCUUACGUGGAAUUAGCGUGCCCCGCUUUUUUAAUUUCGUCGUAAAGUCCUCGUGGCCUUACGAGGUGUUUACGACGAAAUCAUCCUACGUGGAAUUAAAGAGUGCCUCCUUCGUCAUUUACUUUACGUGGUAUUUACGUCAAUUUACCUUACGAGGUCUUUACGACGAUUCUGUCCUACGUGGAAUAAACGAGUGCCUCCUUCGUCAUUUACUUUACGUGGUAUUUACGUCAAUAUACCUUACGAGGUCUUUACGACGAUUCUGUCCUACGUGGAAUAAACGAGGAUUACGUCGUACAUUCGACGUCAUAUUACGAGGAAUUAACGAGCAGUACGUUUAAAUCCCUAAAAUCCGAAACCCCAAACCCCAAAACCCCAUAUUCCUUAUCUUCUACUUCAUAUAUUCCAAACCCCAUCUUUAUUUUCAUUCCAAAC